AGUGAACGCUGGCGGUAGGCCUAACACAUGCAAGUCGAACGGCAGCACAGUAAGAGCUUGCUCUUACGGGUGGCGAGUGGCGGACGGGUGAGGAAUACAUCGGAAUCUACUUUUUCGUGGGGGAUAACGUAGGGAAACUUACGCUAAUACCGCAUACGACCUACGGGUGAAAGCAGGGGAUCUUCGGACCUUGCGCGAUUGAAUGAGCCGAUGUCGGAUUAGCUAGUUGGCGGGGUAAAGGCCCACUAAGGCGACGAUCCGUAGCUGGUCUGAGAGGAUGAUCAGGCACACUGGGAGUGAGACACGGUCCAGACUCCUACGGGAGGCAGCAGUGGGGAAUAUUGGACAAUGGGCGCAAGCCUGAUCCAGCCAUACCGGGUGGGUGAAGAAGGCCUUCGGGUUGUAAAGCCCUUUUGUUGGGAAAGAAAAGCAGCAGGUUAAUACCCGGCUGUUCUGGCGGUACCCAAAGAAUAAGCACCGGCUAACUUCGUG
rnacentral:rRNA from 1 species